UUACCUAUCCUUGACAGCAGAAUGUGCGUUCCUGAGUAGUUUAGAUAUUAACUUUAAAACAUUUGUAUGCUGACUUGCAUUGAAGAUACAGCUUUCUGCUGUGACAUAGUUGUUUUCAAGAUGAAUGAAUUACAUAAUGUAGUUGGUGUUGAUCAUACUCUUUGGUGUUUCAAACUAAUGAAGAAGCAUUCUGUGAAUUAAUGUGUCAAUUUUACUUGUUGUGGAUCAUAGAGGCUUUGCCUUGCCUGUCAUAAUGAUGAAAUUUACUAUAAACCAAAGAUGAGUUACUGUUCACUCAGGCCCGAAAUGGAGUGACGAUUUUGCCCUUGCUACUUGCCUCAACUACAGUUUUACCAUAGUGAUCACUCUCUCUCUCUCUCUCUCUUAUAUUGUAUAGUGUUAUUUUGCCCUUGCUCUGAGAGCGAAAAAAUAAUAGAGAUUUGGGUUUGUUUUGGAAGAGGUCUGAUUUCAGUUGAUCGAGAGGGAGAGACAGAAACACUGAGAGAGAAGUAGAGAUCCAUAGCAAGAUUUGGAUCGAAUUUGGAUCCAUAUUAAUCCAAGAUUGUGGUGUUUUGAUUGAAAGAGAAGUAAGAGUGUUUGGUUUCAAUUGUCUUCAAUCUGUUGUGUUGGUGGGUUUCGGGAGAGUGAGGAUUGCAGGCAAUAGAAGACGUUUAGAAAAAAGGGAGAAGAAGAGCGAUUGGUGUUGGUUUGGAACUUUUUCUUGCUGAGUUCUUUCUUUGGUUUGAUUAAGCAAAAGUCUGAGGAUCUGAAAAGCAAGGGUUGUCAAUUUCUAGGUAUGGAUUGGUUGCCAAGACCAUUUGCUAUUUUCUGUAUUGUUAAUGGCUCCCAAAAACGAAUGUUUCCUCAACAUUCCUGGUUUGAUUUUCAUGAUUCUUUCUGGCUUUUUCAUCACAGAGUAUAAAUAUUUUGUGUCUUUUGCUUCUCAGUUACAUUUUUUUUUUCAAGAAAAUUCUGUGGGUAAUAGCAGGGAAACAUUGUAAUGAUUAUGUACUCUUUGAAUGAAUCUUCAAGUUCUCCUAAGCUGUUCAUCUAAAACAAAAGAUGAAUUAGAUCA